rnacentral:lncRNA from 1 species
AAGGAAACAAAUACUGACUGUCAAAAGCUGUCCUCUCUCUGGAAAAUAUCAUAGACAUUUCAGAGGAAUGGAGGAAGUAUCACCAGCUGUGCGGACCAAAUGUUCAAAUGUAGGAGCCCAUGGAAGACUCAUUUAAACCACAACAGCUGGCUCUGAAGAAGAAGAAAAAAAAAAACUAAACUAGAAGUGGACACAUGUUCAACAAAACAUCAGUUAAAAAGAUCAACCACCUAGUGCAAAAGUAACAGGAUGGAAUGACAUGGGAAAAGCAAAAGUUGAGCGACCAAGAGGUGAAAGGGUGACUUGUUCAAGCAUCCUCAAGUAGAAGCAUUGAAUACAAAAAAUCAAGAGAAAUUUUGGAAAUUGAAUACACAGAGCAGAAUGGCUC